rnacentral:rRNA from 1 species
UACGAAGGGGGCUAGCGUUGCUCGGAAUCACUGGGCGUAAAGCGCACGUAGGCGGCUUGUUAAGUCAGGGGUGAAAUCCUGGAGCUCAACUCCAGAACUGCCUUUGAUACUGGCGAGCUUAGUUCGGGAGAGGUGAGUGGAACUGCGAGUGUAGAGGUGAAAUUCGUAGAUAUUCGCAAGAACACCAGUGGCGAAGGCGGCUCACUGGCCCGAUACUGACGCUGAGGUGCGAAAGCGUGGGGAGCAAACAGG